rnacentral:lncRNA from 1 species
AAUCACAAAAAAAUCCUAGCCUGUAGACACCUACGAUGCCACCAAAAAUCUUAAGCUUAUCCAUCUUACGAUGAUGGUAGCAAAUGCAAAUAAGGCAUAAGACGUAUACAAAAUGUACAAUGAGGUAUUCCGCAUUCGCUCAAGUUACGCAACAAUGCAGUUUAGUAUACCAACACAAUACAAAUAAUCAUGUAAACUUUCAAUAAAAUAAUGCCAUAGAAUCGAAAUAAUCUCUCUAGAUUAAAAAUUUGUAAUAUAACGGACCGAUUGUCCUCAAACCGAAGGAAAAAGAUAAUUACUCAUCAACAGAGACAUGAGAGAUACAAACUGAGAGCAAACUGGUAGUCUGAAAGCACAGACUCAAAUAUGAGACUUGAACAAAUAAUACCAAGCCUGUGGUGGAGACUAGACACGAAACCCUAUGGUCGGUAUGCCAAAAUUUGGUUUCAAUUACAAUGGUACAAAACCAUGGGCUACGCAGAUUUUGAGAACAUAAUUACACUUUAUGCUCAUUUCACACAUAAACUAGAAGAGUACAAUUAUAAAUGCACGCUUUAGGAAGGCGCUAAAUUCAUGCUAGAAUAGAUUGUUAUAUCGCAAAAUCUGCAUAGUCCAACAUUUUGUAACAUGGUACAACUGAAAGCUCUUCUGAGAAUGCUGGCUUAUGAUAGAAGCAGUCACAGAACAUGAGUGUAUCUAGUCUCCUACUUCAGACCUGGCAUCAUGCACUACAUGUAUGUGAAAAUCAAGAGUCUCUGCCUGCAGACUGAUAAAUUGAUGUGGGGAAACCAAGCGACAUUACAAAAAAAAAUCAAUAUUCUACAUUCUCAUUACUAUGUUUGUGCAUUUUUUAGUGACCAACAAAUCCUGAUGUGUUGUACUAAAAAGUCACAUAGAUCAAAUAUUUGAUAAAGAAGAUAAUGUUAUUUCAAGAGUCUUUGAUACUUUCUAGACAUUAAAAUGAACAAUACACACAUGUACAGUACAUCCUUCACCAUUUUUUUUCCUAGUAUAAAUGAGGCAUGGGUAAUUUAUGCAUACCCUUAUUAUACAAAAUACAGCAUAACGUGUAAAAUCACUUAACAUAACAAGUAUAUUGCUCUGAUUUUCUUUUCCUAUACAAACUCUUCAUCCACCACCAAAAAAAAAAAAAAAUAAACAUCUAAAGAGCUUUUCUAAAACACUUAACAUAUAUUUCUGCUCAUUGCACCACUUAUGAAAUAAUAAUUGGUAUUGGAUCUUACUUGUACUCCUGUACCUGCAAAUGCCCUUUAUCAUAAAACCAAACAAACAAAAAUGGACCACAGUGAGGUACUUAACAAUCAAUAGAUCCAUGGAUGGUCUUGUUUAAAUACUAUAAUCCUUAAUCUACACCUUGGCCUGUUACAUAAAACUUAGAAUUGAAUAUGGGAUUGAUUUUUAUGAUCAAGUGUGUUGAUAACAAUGUGUGAUCAGUUUUCAAAAACCAUCCCCAUGAUCAAUCACUAGGCUUUAUGUUCCAGGUCGCUUGCAUCGGAAGGUUGAAGUUGGAGGUAGUUCACAAUUGUAGCAUGCAGCUGAAAUCCCUUCUAGAGUGACCAGACGAGAGAAACACGAAAUGUGACCUUUAUAGACAGUCGGCUGCUAUGGACACAUCCUUUAAUGCAUCAUUUCAUUACUUCUUUUCUGCAGACCCUAUUGUGUUUUUUUUAUGGUGUCUUGGUGAGUGGUGACUGUGUUGAUUUGUAAUGAAAAGCUGCUUACUGGUUUCCUGCAGGAAAAAGAAGUCUCAGACUUUUGGAAAGGUCUGCUAGUCCCGCCUCUCAGACACCUCAGACUGAAAUACAAUCAAAACUGUCUAAAGCGACCACAUGUCUACAGUGAAGCCUGUCUUCAAUGAUCAUCUAAACUGUCUCCCAUUUGAAAGGAACAUUUGUCAUAGAACCUGUCCACAAAGGCCACCUGUCUCAAGUGGCCACUUUUUUUCUGUUCCCUUGGAUGGCCCUACUACACUGGUUUGACCUAACGCAUGCUGCAAUCGGGAACUACCCCUCAGGAACUAGUCAAGCCCUCAGUGUUCAUUUCCAAUUAUCUUGACAAAAUAUCGAGGAAAAUAAUUACUGUUUAAAACAAAUGCGGUCUGUUCAUUUCACACAUAAACAAACUAAUGUUUCGGUUUUCUUUCUGAUAGGGAACUCUAUAUAGUCUGAAAUAAAGAAAAAUACCCCCAAAAUGAAAACUCUACAAGAAUUCAACUUAAAAGUUCAUUGCUGUCAUUAAAGAUAACGGAGUCUUCAAUUUUGUUGUCAUCAGUGUCACUGUGUUAUGAUGUUUUUACACACAAGUGACUGAGUUAACCUGAUGACUACUGAAAUCUUGAAUUCCAAAUAGACUUUAUACAGGAAUCACCCGCUUCCAGGAGGCAAUGGGUUUAAGGGUUCAUUAAUGCACAAUCACCAAGGUAAUGCAUUGCCAACUGCAGUUCAUCCGAUCAUGGCAAAUGAUAUUUUAUUUCAGGGAAAAGAGGAAAUCAGGUCUUCUUGAUGACUGAAUCAAAACUCUGUAACGAUAGAUGUAGUUAUCCGGUAACAACCUGGCCAACCCUUGGUGGAGAGAGGUAAUGCAGAUAAAGAUGUUCUUGUUUUCUACCAAACCAAAAGUUGACAAACAUUGCUACAGAAUACCAAAGGCUUAUUAAAGUCACAAACCAAAAACUGAUAGUG